rnacentral:rRNA from 1 species
UACAGAGGUCUCAAGCGUUGUUUCGGGAUUCAUUUGGGCGUAAAGGGUGCGGUAGGCGGCGCGGUGAAGUACGGGUGUUGGAAAUCAUUGGAGCUUAAACUCCGAAACUGCAUUCGAUACUGCCGUGCUUGAGGACUGGAGAGGAGACUGGAAUUUACGGUGUAGCGGUGAAAUGCGUAGAUAUCGUAAGGAAGACCAGUGGCGAAGGCGGGUCUCUGGACAGUUCCUGACGGCUG